GAUCUAGAAUCUAGAUAGAUUUUAUCUGUUCCUAUUCUAGAAAUAGGUAUGGGCAUGGGAAAAUAUAUAUUAGAUACUUCGAUUUUCCGGUCGCGCGAGAUUUUUUUUGGUUACCGGAACCGGUAGUAUUCGUGCGGCAGUAUUUAAGCCGAUAACAAUAGAGAUUUCGUUCCAGUCUGGUUUUGUCUUCAAAAUCAGACACAAAAGGAUAGUCAGAGCCCUUUGUUUGUUCAAGGAUCGGAUAUCAGUUAAUUCUUUGGAUUUAUAUCAGUGCUUUUCUAUCGUCUUCAUUGGAGUUCCAGCGUGUUGAGCAUAGGGAUAAUGUGGGCGUGGCAGGCCUUGAUGUCGAUGUUGUUGACAAUAAGUUUCGAAGGCAUAUGACUGAUGUGAAGAACUUUUGCAGGAAGAUUACCCGCAGCUGGCACCUAGUUGCACCCUACUUGGAUAAAAAAAUUUCUAUUGAUGCUGCUGGCAAAAAGACACCUAUCCAAGUCCCAAGACAGCACUGAACGACCUAGUAUGGUGAAGAAGUUGCGACCUGAAGGUGAUGUUGAGGCUACUGAAAGGCCAGGUAACACAGAACAACACUGUGCUUGUUGCAGAAAAGCGGUUAGUCUUUUAAGGUAAUAACUUUUACAUUUUCUUUUGUAAAUUCAUUUUUAUAGUUUCAAAACAAUUCCUUUUUAGGUGUCUCAACCCUUUUGACAUUAUUAUAUUUAUUAACAGGGCUUUUUGGCAAGAUGUUAACUGGACCGUGGAUGACACUGAUCUACAAAAUGAAAGAUGAAACAUUUUAAAGAUACCAUUUAUGCAGCUAUUAUAUUUAUUCUCUUGUUUUCUAGAUCUCUCAUGUGAAGGUCUGCAUUGACAAACUAAAGCCACUAAAGGCCCUUGUGGAUUCUCCAGAGAAUCUCCUUUCAAUACUAAGUGAUUGCUUUGGCCAGACUCUGGAUACUGAAGAUCUCGUUCUGAAAACCCUGAGAAAUGUGACUGUUGAUGAAGUAUUUAUCGAGAUCACUAAAAAACUUGCUGAAGGUUUUUGUAAGGUGCUACAGAGACAGUACUUCAAUUGAUAAUUUCCAACAACAAACAAAUCCAUUAUGUGCUUACCCAUCAAAUAGUUAGAUAUAUUUUAUUUUAAGGGAACAUGUUGCAUAUCUGGGAUAUUUAUUUAAUGUGAAAAAUAUAAUUUCACAAUACAGCUGAUAAUUGUGCUAUGAACCAUUUAUAUUAAGUCUUGAUAAUUUUACCUUUUCAGCAAGCCUAUAUUGGUAUGCAUUAAAAGUAUUUAUUCUAUUUCAGCAAAACAGAUAGGGUACACCCAAACAAUGUUCAUCUUCAAACAAUCAUGCAUGAUCCUCGCAAGCUUUGGAUACUGACGUACAUUUGCAAACGCACUCAGACUGAUGACAUCAAGAAAUCUAUAUUUGUUAUUUACAUUAUAUGUAAAU